CCCGCCAGUCUCCCCAGCCCUCGUCCUCGUCUUCAUCUCCAUGCCUAUCCAAGCGAGCAGGUGCUGAUGGUGGUUUUGAUCUACCGUGCAGGAGGCGGCGGGCUCGGCUUGAUGGUGGAAAUAAUAAAUCGAGGUUAAGGAGAAGUGAUUCCGCUUCAUUCCUAUGUUGCUUCCUUUGAUUCAGCUUCUCGGCCAUGCUCGCUCUACCGCGGCGAUGGAUUCCACCGCCGCACACGACGUUUGAAGAGGAGGAGCUGCAAGAACUGACUACAUCUACUACCUCGCGUCCCCGUUGACCUGCGAGAAGGUACACAACGGUGAUGAGGUCAGAGCCUUGUUUAAGCAAGUGCAAGGAGAAGUUCCUGGAUCGCCUAUAUUUAUUAUGAAGGUGGCAUCUUAGAGCCAACAUCUAGAGGUUCACUUGCUAUGUAACAAGCAUGACAACGUGGCAGCACUGCACAGUCGAGACUGUAGUGUUCAAAGAAGGCACCAAAAGCUGAACUAGGGAAGGAUGCCAAAGUUACAUGUACACAACCCUUAUUCUGCUAACCAUGGCUCUCUUUUGGAGAUCGCUCGCGGAAGUUGUUUGCCUUUGGUUACCCCAAGGGGUUCACAGGCCGUAGCUCCUCCUUCCCCAACCCCACUUUGUCUCCCAUGUGAUUUGCCUGUUCCUGAUCUUGGUGGCUGCCAUGUCUCCAAUUUUCAUUGGGCAGGGCUACUAAAGUAAAGGAGCAAACUGGAAAUUCCACCUGCAUAUUUUAGGGUUCUUGCAGAUCAUGCUGGUCACUCCGGGGCGUUGGAGUGGGCCAACUUCCUGACGACAGGCAAGAUUGAGCCGAUCGGCUGCUCGGCGGCAACCAUGAGGUGAGGCGUGGUGCCAGCUGCAGCGGGUGCAGGAAGCAACAACAUAUAAAGAUGGGCGCCGAGGUACACCGUUCACUCCCUCUAAAGGAAGAAUCGAUGUAGUAGCUAGCAUUCAGUUUUAGAUGCUAUGUAUUUCUAUUUUUUUUUGGCAGUAGAGAGCUAUGUAUCUCGUAGUAGUACCGUUUGACGCUCUGGUUAUCAUUUUAACUGUUGGACGUGCUUCUAAUCCACUCUGUAAGAAUGUGACUUCUAUGUUAAUAUAGACCUACCACUAAACAGUUUGCUGCUGCACCUCUGUUAAUUGUGUUCUUUUUUGAACAACUAGUGUCCAUCUUCGUUUCAUACGCACAUUCACAAAUAAAACAACUGGAUUGGUGUGCAAAGGACCAUAGAGGAGGCG